rnacentral:lncRNA from 1 species
CCUUUUAUUCUGAUUCAAUUUUGAAUUUUACAAAAAUAACCAGGAAGAUUCCAUUCUUUAUCAGUCACACCACACCAUCUAUUAUCAAGCAAUCAUACCUCUCAAUUUGAAGUCUAAUCAUGUUUCUCUUUUGAAUAAAAAAUAUAAUAAAAAUAUUAUUUUAAUAAUCAUAAUGAGACGGAUAAAUUUAAUAUAAAUAAUUAAUUAAUAACAUCACAUCAGCAAUAUAGUGUUAUGUCACAUUACAUAGCUUUGGAGUGUUGCAUCAAAAUCCGGGAGGUGACUUUCCUUUUUUAGCAAAAAUGGGAAAUUAAAGUCUCUAAGCAACAACAACAACAACAACCAUCUAAUUAAAUUCUAGAAAAAACUUCAAAAAUCCCCUGUGAUUUCGUAGUUUCUCAUUUUGCCCUUCUGUGAUUUAAAAUGUAUCAAAUUGCUUCCUUGUGGUUUUAUUUUUAUCUUUUGGAUAGUUUUUUCGUUAAUAUUUCAUUAAAUUAUAUACAAAAAACUUCAGAUGCCCAUCUAGAUUUAUCAAAUAUUCACUUUAGUACCCUUUAGUUUUAACUUUAUCACUGAUUUAAGAAAAAAAAAUAAUAAAAUUGAUAAAAAAAAGAGAAAAACGAAACCACAGAGGGAGCAAAUUGAUACAUUUUAAACCACAUGGGAGCAAAGUGAGAAACUACGAAACCACAGGGGGAUUUUUUAAAGUUUUUCCUAAAUUCUAAUAAUAAU